UCCCUAGCCUGGCCCAGAGCCCAGUGGACCCCAUGCUGCCCGGAGCCGAGCCGUGUGGACCCCGUGCUGCCCGGAGCCGAGCCGUCCCCGACGACUCCCGCGAGUCAGCUCCUGGGCGGGCUCCUACCCCCGCAGGCAGCGGAAGAAGUUGAUAACAUGGGCUGGAGAAAGGGGGACGGGGAUGAAAUUCUUUCUCUUCAUCCGUUAGUCCGUUUUCAGGUAUGACCUAAAUUUUUUUUCUAAUUUUUUAAAAUUAAAUUUCAUUAAGGCAUGCAUACAGCCUUAGAACCUUUUACAGAACAGUUUAAAACUUACAAUAUUUGGUUUUGUAAGUAAGAAGUAACUUAGAGCCAUAGUAAGUCUAUGAAUCACAAGAUACCACACAUGUUCCUCCUUGCUCAUGGGGAGAGGAGAGGUUUUGUCACCGACACAUAUCCUUUCUUGUGUUUCCUCCUCGUUUUGACACUAAUGUUUCUCUGAUCAGAGAGGUAUUAGAGUUCAACAAGUAAAAUCUCCAGUAGUUAUUGUUAUGCUGUUAUCUGCUAGGACUGGUGCUAACACUUUUUGUUUGUGGUGGGGUUUUGGUGGGGUUUUUUUGUGUGGUCUUUUUAAAGAAUAAAAUUGAAACACUUGUUCAA